GAUGGACGCUGGCGGCGUGCCUAAUACAUGCAAGUCGAGCGAAUGGAUUAAGAGCUUGCUCUUAUGAAGUUAGCGGCGGACGGGUGAGUAACACGUGGGUAACCUGCCCAUAAGACUAGGAUAACUCCGGGAAACCGGGGCUAAUACCGGAUAACAUUUUGAACCGCAUGGUUCGAAACUGAAAGGCGGCUUCGGCUGUCACUUAUGGAUGGACCCGCGUCGCAUUAGCUAGUUGGUGAGGUAACGGCUCGCCAAGGCAACGAUGCGUAGCCGACCUGAGAGGGUGAUCGGCCACACUGGGACUGAGACACGGCCCAGACUCCUACGGGAGGCAGCAGUAGGGAAUCUUCCGCAAUGGACGAAAGUCUGACGGAGCAACGCCGCGUGAGUGAUGAAGGCUUUCGGGUCGUAAAACUCUGUUGUUAGGGAAGAACAAGUGCUAGUUGAAUAAGCUGGCACCUUGACGGUACCUAACCAGAAAGCCACGGCUAACUACGUGCCAGCCGCCGCCGUAA
rnacentral:rRNA from 1 species